rnacentral:sRNA from 1 species
GCCAGGUGUGGUGGUGCAUACCUGUAAUCCCAGCAGCACAGGAGGCUGAGGCAGGAGGAUCACAAAUUUGAGGCCAGCCUCAG